UGCACCCGAUAAGUUGUUGUAUGCAAUACUGAAUACUGCCAAAUAAUUUAGCUCAAGUAGACCAACAGGAAUGCUCCCAUUCAAUCUGUUGUAGGAAAGGUCUAAACUCUCGAUUUCCUGUAGAUUGGAGAAGGUAUUUGGUAUUCUUCCGUUGAGAUGGUUGUGUGAUAGAUUCAAUGCAUGUAUAUUGCUCAUGUUCCCUAGCUCAACGGGAAUUUCACC